rnacentral:rRNA from 1 species
GUGCCAGCAGCCGCGGUAAUACGGAAGAUGCGAGCGUUAUCCGGAUUUAUUGGGUUUAAAGGGAGCGUAGGCGGCUUUUAAGCCAGCGGUCAAAUGUCAGGGCCCAACCUUGGCAUGCCGUUGGAACUGGGAGCCUUGAAUACACACAAGGAAGGUGGAAUUCGUCGUGUAGCGGUGAAAUGCUUAGAUAUGACGAAGAACUCCGAUUGCGAAGGCAGCCUUCUGGGGUGCGAUUGACGCUGAGGCUCGAAAGUGCGGGUAUCGAACAGGAUUAGAUACCCUGGUAGUCCGCACAGUAAACGAUGAAUGCUCGUCAUCGGCGACAGACAGUCGGUGACCAAGGGAAACCAUUAAGCAUUCCACCUGGGGAGUACGCCGGCAACGGUGAAACUCAAAGGAAUUGACGGGGGCCCGCACAAGCGGAGGAACAUGUGGUUUAAUUCGAUGAUACGCGAGGAACCUUACCCGGGCUUGAAUUGCAGGAGAACGAUACAGAGAUGUUGAGGUCUUCGGGACUCCUGUGAAGGUGCUGCAUGGUUGUCGUCAGCUCGUGCCGUGAGGUGUCGGCUUAAGUGCCAUAACGAGCGCAACCCUUGCUGUCAGUUGCCAUCAGGUAGAGCUGGGCACUCUGGCGGGACUGCCAUCGCAAGAUGUGAGGAAGGUGGGGAUGACGUCAAAUCAGCACGGCCCUUACGUCCGGGGCUACACACGUGUUACAAUGGGGGGUACAGAAUGUUGCUUACGGGCGACCGUUGGCGGAUCAUCAAAUCCCCUCUCAGUUCGGACUGGAGUCUGCAACCCGACUCCACGAAGCUGGAUUCGCUAGUAAUCGCGCAUCAGCCAUGGCGCGGUGAAUACGUUCCCGGGCCUUGUACACACCGCCCGU